GCUGUCGCCCAGUAAAGGUCGGCACUCCGGUCAAAUCGUGCCGUGUCUUUGUCCAUCCAUUCUUACGUUCGCGCCCCCGUAAUGGUCACAGUCUUCCCGAAGUCAUGGUCUUCAAUAACUGGGACCCUAGAGGCUGUGAAGGAUAGCUGAGGUGAAGGGACAGGACAGCUGGUGAGCCCAGAGCAGGCCACCACUAAGCACAUACGGAACUUCUCUACUGAUGUGUCGGCUCCUCGGGCUAUGAUCCCCUUAAGGGCACGAGCACCCCUCACCCUGGCUGACAGUAGCUUCGUCCACAAGAGCAGCCUAAUUUUACCAGUACACAAAGGAACUUGAUGUUUUGUUCUACUCCAAUCAGACUACAAAAGAGAAUAAGGAGUACCUCCAAGCAACAUUUACCAAACUAAAAGGAACUAUUGAGAAAUUGAAGUUCAGUAAACAAUGAGAAA